UACGUAGGAGGCGAGCGUUGUCCGGAAUCACUGGGCGUAAAGCGCGUGUAGGCGGGGGGGGAAGUCUGCUGUGAAAGCGCCGGGCUUAACUCGGCGAGGUCGGCGGAAACUCCUUCCCUGGAGGCCGGUAGAGGGGGGUGGAAGUUCCCGGUCGUAGUGGUGAAAUGCGUAGAGAUCGGGAGGAACACCCGUGGCGCAGGCGGCCCCCUGGGCCUUACCUGACGCUCAGGUGCGAAAGCUAGGGGAGCGAACAGG
rnacentral:rRNA from 1 species